rnacentral:lncRNA from 1 species
AAAUACUUAACUCUAGUUAGUUAAUGAGGUGAAUUAAACUUUUUACCCUUCUUCAGUUAACCGUUGGGAUUUUCAGAGGGGCAUAUUUGUCAUGGCAAAAAUGUCAUUUUACUUAUUGUUGGGAUCAAAAAAUUUUGAAAUUUGAAAUUCAAAUUGAGAAUAUAUAUGGAAGGGAAUUGAUGUGAUUAAUGGUUGCCUUAGAUGACCAACUAUUAAAAGGAAAAGAAUUAAAAAUAUAUUGUUGCCUUCUUUUCAAAUUCUUUUGAAUUAUUUUCCUAAACAAAGAGG